GUCCACGCUGUAAACUAUGGGUACUAGGUGUUCGGGGUAUUGACCCCCUGAGUGCCGCAGCUAACGCAUUAAGUACCCCGCCUGGGGACUACGGCCGCAAGGUUAAAACUCAAAGGAAUUGACGGGGGCCCGCACAAGCGGUGGAGCAUGCUGUUCAAUUCGACGCAACGCGAAGAACCUUACCUGGGCUAGACAACGGCGGACAGCCUGUGAAAGCAGGUCUUCCCUUCGGGGACUGCCGGUUCAGGUGUUGCAUGGCUGUCGU
rnacentral:rRNA from 1 species